rnacentral:lncRNA from 1 species
CUCCUUCAAACCUUCAUCUCUUUUUGGACAAAGUCAAGCGGAAGACCAUUCCCCAAAAACUUGCCGAUUUUUCUUUCACGGCACCGAUGACUGAUCAAUCUCUCCGAUAGACAUGGAGAUGACUUGAGUAAACUUUUGCUUUAGCAUCACCACCUCUUCAUCAGUGGCCUUUGAAGUUUCUUACCGGCAGCAACAAGGUCCUUGGACUACUUG